rnacentral:sRNA from 1 species
CAUUACCGAAUUCCAAGGAGCAGAGGAGUGAAGGGGGGAUGCUCCAGUAUUUCGGAGUGCUGUCGCUGGCCCUUUGGUAUGUGCACGUCUCCGGAGUCCGACGGUGUCCCUUCGUUCUCCGAAGCUCCAUAUCUCUCGAACACCUCUGUGCACCCGUUGUAGGUCUCGUCGCUGGGACCUAUGUAUUCCUUAGCUCGCAUGUAUACAGAACGUCGUCUAGUCGUGUCGUCCGGCCCAGCGUCGGCGACCGCAUUAUAAUAUAACUUUCAGCAACGGAUCUCUUGGCUCUCGCAUCGAUGAAGAACGCAGCGAAUCGCGAUAAGUAAUGUGAAUUGCAGAUUUUCCGUGAAUCAUCGAAUCUUUGAACGCACCUUGCGCUCCUCGGUAUUCCGAGGAGCAUGCCUGUUUGAGUGUCAUCGAAAUCUCAAAUCCUAGCUUCGCUUCGUUGGAGCUCGGUUUUGGACUUUGGGAGUCUGCGGGCGGCCCUUUGCUUGGGACGUCGGCUCUCCUCAAAUGCAUUAGCGGUGGGCGCGAGCCUUUGCACGGCACGGCCUGUUCGACGUCGUAGUGAUCGUCGCGGGCUGGAAGUGCUUGGAUCGACAUGUCUCAUGCUUCCAACUAGUUCGCUCUGCGUUCCUUUAAGGCUUGACCUCAAAUCAGGU